GAUGAACGCUGGCGGCGUGCCUAACACAUGCAAGUCGAGCGAACAGACGAUGAGCUUGCUCCUUUGACGUUAGCGGCGGACGGGUGAGUAACACGUGGAUAACCCACCUAUAAGACUGGGAUAACUUCGUGAAACCGGUGCUAAUACUGGAUAACAUGUUCAACGGGAUGGUUCAACAGUUAAAGAGGGUCUGGCUGGCACUUAUAGAUGGAUCCGCGUCGCAUUAGUGAGUUGGUAAGGUAACGGCUUCCCGAGGCAACGGUGCGGAGCCGACCUGAGAGGGGGUUCGGCCACACUGGAACUGAGACACGGUCCAGACUCCUACGGGAGGCAGCAGUAGGGAAUCUUCCGCAAUGGGCGGAAGCCUGACGGAGCAACGCCGCGUGGGUGAAGAAGGUCUUCGGGUCGUAAAACUCUGUUAUUGGGGAAGAACAAAUGUAUCAGUAACUAUGCACGUCUUGACGGUACCUAAACAGAAAGCAACGGCUAACUACGUG
rnacentral:rRNA from 1 species